GGGUUGGGCUGAGUGAAGGCAGGUUUAUUUGAGUUUGACCUUUGUAACCAAGAAAAAUUGAGGUGAUUCCUCCAUCCUGGGUGUACGUUGGUACGUAGGGGUCAUUUGUGGGUCUUUGAUAGGCUGCGUUCAUUUGUGCUACUUCAUUCUUGGUUGGACCCAUCAAGAAAGGACAUCCUUCUAUUGUGUGGUCUAUGGCAUUGCACCCAUUGCAAGUGGAUGUUGCAACUUGG
rnacentral:lncRNA from 1 species